GCGAGAGAGUAACCUUUGUUACAGGGGGAGAGCGAGAGAGUAACCUUUACCUUUGUUACAGGGGGAGAGCGAGAGAGUAACCUUUGUUACAGGGGGAGAGCGAGAGAGUAACCUUAACUUCUGUUACACAGAGAAAGGGGAACAUGACAGACGUAUGGAGACAGAGGGGGGGACCUGAACUGUGUUAGAUCGAGAGCUCGGGGUAGAGAAAUAGAUUAAUGUGUUUUCUGUUAGGGAAUCCCCAUAGCUGCAGGCCAGAUGAUGUCAUCGCCUUAGCUCUCCUCUGUGGUGGUGUUUCCACAUGAUUAGGGACCAACGACACACACAUGAAUACACUCGCAUGAAUACACUCACACGAAUACACUCACACGAAUACACUCACACGAAUACACUCACACGAAUACACUCACACGAAUACACUCACAUGAAUACACUCACAUGAAUACACACACAUGAAUACACACACACGAAUACACUCACACGAAUACACACACAUGAAUACACUCACAUGAAUACACUCACAUGAAUACACACACAUGAAUACACUCACAUGAAUACACUCACAUGAAUACACACACAUGAAUACACUCACAUGAAUACACUCACAUGAAUACAAGUGCAUGUUGAUUUGCACCCCCUUCACGAUGAGUAUAACUGAGUUUAAGAUCACAUGUCCUUUGAGAAGAUAAUUGUUUACAACAUAUGAGUGGUUUCAAUAUAAUGGAUCACAUUACAUGAUAUAAUAUCUACUAUGUUCUAAGUGUAAAACACACAAUGAACCUAGCAGUAGAUUUGUUUUUAUCAAACAUUUUAUUUCUAAAGGAUGUUACUAAGAUUUACGAUUUGAAGUGAAAUAUGAGAAACUGCUCUAUUAUAUGAAGGAAGCCUUGAUUAUCAGCUAGCUGUAUGUUGCCAGUAGCUACAGUAGAGACUUCCUACUAUAGCAUGCUUUAACCAUGUGAUGCACUGGUUAUCUAGAAGGGCCUUGUCCACUGCUGGGAACAUCCUAUGACACACACAGUACAUGUCCUAAUUAAAGACAUGUUCUCAGUCUGCAUCUCUCAACCACAACUGAUCGGUUUAUAGCUCAGUGCACACACACAGCUUAGGGAAUCUGACCCCCGCAACUUCCCUCUCUUACCCCCAACACAAACACACACAUCCUGCACUACUCCUGCUAUGAAUGCACUUUUAGGGAGGUGAGGAUGGGCAUUUCCACUCUGGUUGCCCCAGGCUUCUGCCUCCUUAUAGAUGAUACCACAACGUGAUGACACUUCUGAGUGAGUGGCCCCAUAUCCUGUUAAGGUUAACCUUAGUCACACACAGUCAGUCAACCACAGUAGCCAACACACACACAGACCCUAAAGGAAUCUCUGGCGUUGUGACAUGCUGUUAUGAUGAUUUGUAUUAAGGGAAUUUCAGACAAUGUGAAAUUAUGGGGAUAUUGACCAUGCUGUGGCAUCUCUACGCUGUAUUAUCAACUGGGUUGUUCAAGCCCUGAAUGUUGAUUGGCUGACAGUCCGUAUACCAUGGGUAUGACAAAGCAUUUGUUUUUACUGUUCUAAUUACGUUGUCAACCAGUUUAUAAUAGUAAUAAGGCACCUCGGGGGUUUGUUGUUUAUGGCCAAAAUACCACGGCUAAGGGCUGUGUCCAGGCACUCUGCGUUGCGUUGUGCUUAAGAACAGCCCUUAGCCGUGGUAUAUUGGCCAUAUACCACAGCCCUUAUCCCUUAUUGCUUAAAUAUACCAUGGACUGCAUGCCCACAUUGAACAGUUGAGUUUGCAUGGCUGUUCUGCUGCUGCCAUCACUGUAACAACCGCCUGUACGUACUCCUGAAAUGGUUCAUUUCUAUAUUUCUGCCCUGUACUAUAGAUACAUCAUCAGCAGAGUCAUUCUGUGUCUAGUAGCAGCAUGGCCUGAUCCUCAUGCUCUUCAUCACUUGAAUAUUAUUAUAUUGACAUGCCUGUCCUUGAACGAGCCCCAAUGACACUUCAGCUGUACAAUAUCCCCAGUUAAAACUCCCUGACAGUAUACAGUGUAGACUCCCCGUUGUCAAACUCCCUGACAGCAUACACUAUAGACUCCACGUUGUCAAACUCCCUGACAGCAUACAGUAUAGACUCCCCGUUGUCAAACUCCCUGACAGCAUACAGUAUAGACUCCCCAUUGUCAAACUCCCUGACAGCAUACAGUAUAGACUCCACGUUGUCAAACUCCCUGACAGCAUACAGUAUAGACUCCACGUUGUCAAACUCCCUGACAGCAUACAGUAUAGACUCCCCAUUGUCAAACUCCCUGACAGCAUACAGUAUAGACUCCCCAUUGUCAAACUCCCUGACAGCAUACAGUAUAGACUCCCCAUUGUCAAACUCCCUGACAGCAUACAGUAUAGACUCCACGUUGUCAAACUCCCUGACAGCAUACAGUAUAGACUCCACGUUGUCAAACUCCCUGACAGCAUACAGUAUAGACUCCCCGUUGUCAAACUCCCUGACAGCAUACAGUAUAGACUCCACGUUGUCAAACUCCCUGACAGCAUACAGUAUAGACUCCACGUUGUCAAACUCCC
ensembl:lncRNA